UGAUCAGGGGACUGUCUCUAUCACUUUCUCAUCUUUGGCAUAAAUUCCUGUCCACACACCUAGCUGACUUCAGGCUUCUAGAGAGGCCAGCGCUGAUUGGAUGAGGGUGAAUACCUGAUCGAGAAGUGGCCAAUCCACGAGCUGACCAAAAGCCUAGCACUUGUGCUGUUAGCAAAGUAAUGGUUUGUUUGCUGUGUUCUUGGACCAGAAAAUACUGUUUCCUAGAACUAGAAUUAGGACUGAGAAAAUAAACAAAGUUUGUGAGAAUUUGUUUGCUCCCCAGGGAGCUGACGUUUCUGAAAGAGCCUUUCCCAGGAUGCCUUGCAGGAAGGUGUAGCACCUGUGAGUAGCCAGCCUGGAGCUACCUGGAGGACCGGAUUUGGGAGUGAAUGAAUGUUGCUCAGGAGGAGUUCCUCAGGACUUCUUUUUCUUGAUAAGUAAUGGUAACUCAGCCACCAGCAGAAUCUAGCUGACACCCAGUUGAUGGUUGACCAGAAAUCCCAUACCUUUCUGCCGGCCGCCAUGGUACCCUGGAGCUGAAAAUGGGUGUUGAGAACACAGUCUCUCAGGAGGCUCUGAGAAGGGCUUGAGUGAAAUGGGUUUGCUGUGAUGUGACAGAUGGGCUCUGAGCGGCUGAGUCAAGACUGGGAAGCUCAGGCCUACCUGAUACUGGUACAUCUGGAUCUGCCCUUGAGGUCAGGCUUAGUGAUGGCCUGGUCGUGAUAGGCCUGCUUGGAAUGGGUUUAAAUAUUGGCUCUGGGGUGCCUGGGUGGCUCAGCUGGUUAAGCGUCUGACUCUUGGUCUUGGCUCAGGUGGUGAUCUCAUGGUUUGUGGGAUCAAGCUCCGCCUUGGACUCUGUGCUGACAGCAUGGAGCCUGCUUGGGAUUCUCUGUUUCCCUUUCUCUCUUCCCCUCCCCCACUUGUGUUCUCCCUCUCUCUCUUUCUCUCAAAAUGAAUAAAUAAACAUUAAAAAAAUAAAUAUUGGUUCCAAUUUUUUUGCAUGUUCCCUGUAGUCUUCAGAACUGCCUCUUAGGGUUGAUCUGGAUGGAGUCAGAAAACCCCACAGUGAA